AGAGAGAAUGUGAUGGGAGAUAAGACUGAAAAGUUGAAGAUCAGAAUUGAAACGUUUUGAAGAAAUUGUCAUCAUUUUAAAGGCAGUAGGAACUACUGGUUUGUGAGAAAGAGGAGUUAAUAUGAUCACACCUUUGUUUUAUGAGGGUCACUGACAGUGGGAUCAGGUCUGGUUAGACAAGGCAUGGAGAUUGGUGACUGGGAAGCCAGAUACUUUGUUCAUAUUGAGAAUGGAAAAUUGGGGACUCAGAUUGCCAUAACGUAAGUGAAGUUGCCAAGAUUAGCAUUUGGGGCCAGUUGGUCAGCACACAAGAGAUUGUGCAGGGAAAAUAUAUUCAGUGUAUUUUACAGUUUGUACAUCACAGUUCAUGACAGAACACACUUCAGGUAUGGCAUCCGCUUGCCACUUAAUAUUUCAGGAGUGGAAGGAAAGGAAAGAUUGCUCCCUAACUGCCUGUAGACCUCUCCAGUCUUGUAGUCCCUUUCCUCGUGAGGUCUGCGUCAUCCCCUUGUGUGGUCUGUGCACCAUUUUCACUAGUGUCCUUUUGUGGACAGAGGGAAAAGAUAGGGGAUUCCUGUUGGAUGUAACAUAAGUAAGACUGUUAGUGUUACCCGGACAGGUGGGGGCAUAGUUGUGAUUGCUGAGGAUUGAGUGAGUAGUGAAGCAGUAGUAAAAACAGUACUUUCCAAAAGUUGGCAGGAAAUACAAAGAAUCAUGACAAUGUCUUGAGGGGUAGACUGAGGGGUCAGAACACGUUAAAAGGGAGAAUUUAAAAGCACAUGUGCCUCGAUGAGACAAGGUCCUGGAGAGGGUGGGAUCUACUGAAUCCUGUGGAUCCAGACUAGCCUGAGCUCCAGAUGGAGAGAGUGGGUGAUCUUGGACAAGUUUCAGCUUUGCUGAGCCUGGUGCUGCUGCAUCUGUCACAGGAUGGGAGAUAGUCUGUCACAGGGCUGCUGAAAUGAUUUACUUCGUGUACUUUUAUCAAAAUAAUUAGUGUAAAGCAAAUAUAAUUGUUGACUUUAGCCUUGGAAAGGAAUAGAAAUGGUUUAAGAUAAUGGAGAAAUGUUGCAGAGAAAGGGAGGAAUUUUGUGUGGUCCCCCAUCUGAGAACUUAUAUACAUGCUGACCCCCAAGUCAUCCUCGUCAUCCCUAGUAGUCCCAAUUUUCAUGUGGUUGGUAAGAAUAAUUCUCACUUGAGAGACAUGCCUCAAAAUCAGUAUUGAGGGUUGUUGCUGUUGUUUUUUCUGAGAAGUAGAAUUAAACAUUGUUUUGAUUCUAUUUCAUAUAUCAUUCCUGCCAUUCAGCUCAUUCCAGCUGAACCUCCUCCAUGGCAUAUACUUUAUUACAUCUUUGUGCACAUUACUCCCGCCAUUUGCCCAUUUGAAAUCCUCAUUGCUGAAGGCCCACGUUUGAUAAUUUCUCCUCUGAUAAACUUUCUCUGCAAGGACUUUUUAUUUCAUGUCCCCAUUGCAUGUUUCCUUUAAUUUAUUCGUUCAUGCACUCCCCAUUUUGUUCCACAGAGAAUACAAGACAACAACGUGCUGUAUGUCUUUUCCUUUUGUUCUGUGAGGGCAUCCUGUGUGCUAAUCUACUGAUGCUUCGCCUUGGAAUCCCUUGGAUGGAAAAGCCUGUCUUACUCCUAGAUCACGAUGACUGGGAAGUAGGCAUUCAAUCAAUAUUGGUCUGGCUGCCUUGGAGAACUAAAUACCAAAUCCUCCACCGGGAGCAGCGACAAAUGGGAGACAGCGUGCAGCAAAGAAUGAGAUCACGGAGCCUGGUUAUGUGGACUCCAUUCUGAAGCCUGUUUACUGUGUGGAGUGAACACGGUUCAUGCCUGGUCUGUUAUUCCACCAGCCAGGCCCAUCCUGUGGAGCUCUGGCCCAGGCCUGGGCUGUGUGUGGCGGCAGCCACGGAAAGGUUUUCUUGAAGGAUUUACCCCCGUGGAGCCUUGAAGUCUGAGGAUGAACUGGAGGACGAAGGUAAGCAGGCAGGGAAGGGAGAGGGGUUAGCACCAGCUCGAGGGGAAUUUGCAAGGGAGAUGGGCACAGUCUGAGGCGUCUGUACCUGGAGGACAGAGAACAGGCACUACCUAUCACCUUGGCUCACCUUUCCUUUAGAGGCACACCUUGUCACCCUGCACACUCCCGGGGUGCAGAAGCAGGGAGUGCAGCACCCUUGCUGAGCUCUGACUCACAGGCUCUGGCUUUGGAGCAGAGCUAGAGUCAAGGGAAGGAAAGCAGGUUACAGGGGAAGGCCUGAGAGGAAUUCCAGGACAGACACAAGCUGCAGAGGCCCAGGUGGCCCAGAGAGGGAGCAAGCAGUGAGGUAAGCCAUCCUGCCCAGAGCACGGAAGAUGGAGCUGAGAGCACAGACAUGUGGCUAAGUCCAGCUUCAAUGACCAUGGCAACAGCUCCUCUGGGACCUUUGCACCCCACUUCUGAAGGCCCCAUGCCAUUCCACCCAUGGAACACCUUGAGGACUCCCAACCCUGCGAGAAACAGGAGAGGUCGGCACUACCUUCUUCGAGUCUUAAAAUUCAAGAAGAAAGACAUCAUUUUAGACUUGGGCCUGCUGGGUUUGCCAAAGAAAACUCCAUUGUCAGCAGACACUUGAUGGGGCGAAGGAGCUGACGACCCACUCCUGUGAGACAUGAGGGACUUGCUGCGCCUGGCUCCUAGGAACUGACCUGACUACAAGACACAUGACUGUGGGCAGGACUCAAACUUCACCGAGCCCUGGUGUCUCACCCUGAAAAUGCAGGGGACGGCCUUCCACCUAUGCACUGUAGCUACGAUGGACCAAGGAGACCACGUGUGCACAGCAUACCACCUGGCACGUGGUGUACCUGAAGCAAAUAUCCAUUCCCUGCCCCAUCCAGGAUGAGGCCUGGGCCUUCACCCUCAACCACUGAACACAGAGCAUGGAGAAGGGCUGAAGUCUGGAAGAAGAGAAGGAUGCCCACUUUCACUACUUCGAUAUAGUACUGCAAGUCCUAGACACAGCAAUCAGACAAGGAAAAGAAAUAAAAGGUAUUCACAUUGGUAGAGAGGAGGUAAAGUUAUUAUUUGCAGAUGACAUGAUACUAUAUAUAGAAAACCCUAGGGCUUCCCUGGUGGCGCAGUGGUUGAGAGUCCGCCUGCCGAUGCAGGGGACAC